rnacentral:pre_miRNA from 1 species
CUAGUACUCCAUCCUAAAAUUCUUGUCUUAGAUUUGUCUAAAUACGGAUGUAUCUAGUUACGUUUUAGUGUUAGAUACAUCCAUAUCUAGACAAAGCUAAGACAAGAAUUUUGGGACGGAGGGAGUAUUAU